GUGCUCGCUUCAGCAGCACAUAUACUAAAAUUGCAACAAUAUAGAGAAGGUUAGCAUGUCCCCUCACAAGGAUGACAAUCAAGCUUGUGAAGCAUUACAUAUUUUU